GAGCUGCAAGAGAAAGAAGACUGAAUUCAGUCUCUCUUGCAGAAAAAUUGUUUUCCGUCAAGUUGAUAAUAAUGAUCACACUGAGAAUGAAUGACUCAAGAUGAAUAUCCAAAGAUAUAUCAAAACCUGGUCAGCAGUCGUGGGGAAAGGAAGAAAGCCUGAGUUGAGUUUAUGAAAGUUUUCCACUAAAGUCAGCAACAGCUUAAAUUCAAACCAGGCACAAGACGCUUGAAUCUCCAUAUGAGUUGUUCAUCAAAGGGCUGAAAGAAAAGAAAUCUGAGCCCGAGCACGGUCUGGCCUAAAAGCUUUCAAGUGACUCCUUUCUGUUGCAAAUGAAAGAAGUCCUGCUACUCUAAAGAAUAACUAAACCAGACUGGAGUCACUGAAACUGAUGGAAGAACAUCUCAGGCAUGAGUGCCAUGGUGACGUCAUCAGCUCCGUUCACAACCACUCACCAUGAGGCCAUUGCUCCUGUGGAGGACACUGG
ensembl:lncRNA LINC01894 long intergenic non-protein coding RNA 1894